GGUAUAACGAGUCGCAAGACGCGAGGUUUAGCAAAUCUCUUAAAGCCGUUCUCAGUUCGGAUUGUAGGCUGCAACUCGCCUACAUGAAGUCGGAAUCGCUAGUAAUCGCGGAUCAGCAUGCCGCGGUGAAUACGUUCCCGGGCCUUGUACACACCGCCCGUCACACCAUGAGAGUUUGUAACACCCAAAGCCGGUGGGGUAACCUUUUGGAGCCAGCCGUCUAAGGUGGGACAGAUGAUUGGGGUGAAGUCGUAACAAGGUACC
rnacentral:rRNA from 1 species